UACGUAGGGGGCAAGCGUUGUCCGGAUUUAUUGGGCGUAAAGAGCGUGUAGGCGGCCGUACAGGUCAGCUGUGAAAACUCGAGGCUCAACCUCGAGACGUCGGUUGAAACCGUACGGCUAGAGUCCGGAAGAGGAGAGUGGAAUUCCCGGUGUAGCGGUGAAAUGCGCAGAUAUCGGGAGGAACACCGGUGGCGAAGGCGGCAUCCUGGACCGGUAUUGACGCUGAGGCGCGAAAGCCAGGGGAGCAAACGGG
rnacentral:rRNA from 1 species